GAGCAGUGGAGGUAGGACUGAACAGAGUUAGCAUUAUCUUCAUUUAACAAUACCAAUGAAAACUCCACUGUGUUCUAAUUUGAAGAGAGACUCCAGAGAGCCACGGAUAUCUGGAUUAAUAUAUGCGGGAAAGGAAACUUUUUGAAAGCAUUCCAAGUUACUACACUUGUCCACAAGCUGUAAAUAGAAUUGAUGAGAAGGAAGCGCUUAGCGAUCUGAUUUUGUUUGGAUUGCAAUUUUUCCCAAAUGUAACAUCAAGGGAAAGAAAGACAAAAAGAAUUACACUUUCAGAAUGCGCCAUUCAAGGAGUGAAGAAGGGGAUAAAACUGGGACCAAACUGUUUGGGAAUUGGUAGCACAUGACAGGAGUCAGGAGGGGUUAACCAGACAGCGAAAGGCAUGCCAAUAUUCUGAAUGCCAUAGAUGAGGCAACGCUGGGUUUUAUAGAAAGGACAUCGCUGAGACCUUGACCGCAGACAAGGAUCGAUGACUUGAUGUUGAUGGGUAUUCUCGGAAUGAAAGUUCCUUCUUAUAUUCCCCCUUCCUCCUCACCCCUCACUCUCUUCUGACUUAUGAUGUGGUUUGAUUUAUUUAUUGUCAUGUGUAUCUUGGUACAAAAAUGCAGUGAUAAGGGCUAUAGAGUGUCACCACUCUCCAACAUCAUCUUAAAACACAGAAAAAAAGAACAAAACAUAAGAGUAUAAAGGCAGAAAAGUGACAAAAUGAAGUAAGUGUCCAACUUUACAGUCCUUCUUGUUAAGUGCUUCACCAAGGGCCAGGGUCGGCCCCUGGAACGAAAGUUGCCACCUUGCCUCCACCAACACCCUUGCCACAAUGAGUCCUCGCUGGACCUUGACUAUGCAGAUUCCACUGAUGCUGCCCAGUACCAUACCAACCCAAAUUUGACUCCACUUCUGCCAUGAGCCUGCUUUGGGCCCACCUUGCCAAUGCAUCCACCACUGAUAGUGCCAGGUCUCGCGCUGGAUCCAAACUCACCUCAGCCACCACCUCCUUGAAUCUGCGCUGGAUGCAGCAGCACCAGCAACACAAAUUCACCUCCGCCGCAACACCCAUGGAGCCGGCACUGGGCCUGCCUCGACAAUGCAGAAGCCAGCGGGAACCUGAACCCACCUCUGACAUCACUGUCACAAGCUCGUGCUGCUGGGCCCAUGCCAUUGACGCAACCAAGCUCUUUGCCAAGAGUUAAGCAAACUAAGGAGAAAAAACAAAGCAAGAAAGAAAAACAAGAAAAGAAAGGAAAAGUAGAUGCAAUAUCUUUCCGGAAUGACAUACAGAUGGCGAAUGCAGUUACUACAACAAGGCUUGGACAGCUUCAGGAGGAAAUCAAGUGACUCCACACCACUCAUUGUGGCCAGGGGGACCAGGAGUGCUUCUUCCACACACCCCACCUCCAAACUCACCCACUAUCAGGUGACCCUGCGUCCACAUACUAACUCUUCAGGCUGGAUGUAUCCUGGGUGAAAGUUUACCCUCCCCUACUCCUCCAUCCCAUCCACUACCUCACUUCCUGAGGUCAAGGGAUCAGACAUACCUGGGAUUCUCCUGAACCCUCUCCCUAAGCUUUCUAUCGACUGGAAACCAAAACUCUCUUUCAGUCUAAAUUUAAGGCAAGGAAUGUAUUGGGGCUAAAAAUUGCACACUGUGAAGUAAAAACUGCAUGACGGACAGGCAGAAAACAGACUCCUUCGUUCCAGGUUUUCACCCCUUGUCCAGUUGAGCAUAGUUAAGAGAAUUCCUGGCUUGCAAAUCCAAUCUUUACAAAUAGCUGCCCAAACUUACAAUUUUUGGACCAGAGAAAUGCAUAAGACAGGGUGAGCUAUGGAGACUGCCAAGUGUGGAGGUAGACUG